AAAGGUGAGGCAGCAAGCAGGUAUGCUCUUGAUUUUAUGGUUCUCACCACACAGGACAUAGCUAAGUGUGAUGAUUUGCAGAAGAGAGUCCACAAAGACGGUGGUAGACCUAUACGUGAACCUGCAAAGAGUGCCAUUUUACGGUCUCCAUAUACAGCAGCUUUCGGAUCGGCGGGUUCAUCAUCUACUGUAGUGGGUGCUGCUAGUCAAACACUUGCACGUUUAAGUGCAUUCCCCAAAUCAUGCAUGGAGAUGCCCUCAAAUUUUGAAGAGGCAUUGUUUGAAGAAUGGUUCAAAAUUGGAAUAAACAACAGAAAAAUGUUUGUUUUUUGUUGUUAACAAUGCUAUAGUUUUUUAUGAAACAAAUAAGUUUGUAUUAUUGUA
rnacentral:lncRNA from 1 species